rnacentral:tRNA from 1 species
GACCCCGUAGCUCAGUGGAUAGAGCGGAUGGCUACGAACCAUCAGGCCGGGCGUUCGAGUCGCCCCGGGGUCG